rnacentral:pre_miRNA from 1 species
UUUAGGGGUGGAUCUGACGUCCCUGAGUGUAUGUGGUGAACCUGAAUUUGCCUUGGGUUUCCUCAUAUUCAUUCAGGAGUGUCAGUUGCCCCUUC